rnacentral:rRNA from 1 species
UCAAGCGACUAAGUGCACAUGGUGGAUGCCUUGGCGAUUACAGGCGAUGAAGGACGUAGUAGCCUGCGAAAAGCUACGGGGAGCUGGCAAACGAGCUUUGAUCCGUAGAUGUCCGAAUGGGGAAACCUGGCGCGCAAGCGUCACUCCCACCUGAAUAUAUAGGGUGGGUAGAGCGAACGCAGCGAACUGAAACAUCUAAGUAGCUGCAGGAAAAGAAAUCAACCGAGAUUCCCAAAGUAGUGGCGAGCGAAAUGGGAUCAGCCUGUAUGUGAUAGCUUUUUGGUUAGUGGAACGGAAUGGAAAGUCCGGCGAUAGAGGGUGAUAGCCCCGUACACGAAAACUGAAGAGUGGUACUGAGCAUACGACAAGUAGGGCGGGGCACGAGAAACCUUGUCUGAACAUGGGGGGACCAUCCUCCAAGGCUAAAUACUCGUAAUCGACCGAUAGUGAACCAGUACCGUGAGGGAAAGGCGAAAAGAACCCCGGGAGGGGAGUGAAAUAGAACCUGAAACUGCAUGCAUACAAACAGUGGGAGCGGACAAGUUCCGUGACUGCGUACCUUUUGUAUAAUGGGUCAGCGACUUACAUUCUGUAGCGAGCUUAACCGAAUAGGGGAGGCGAAGGGAAACCGAGUCUGAAUAGGGCGAUAGUUGCAGGGUGUAGACCCGAAACCGGGUGAGCUAUCCAUGGCCAGGAUGAAGGUGCAGUAACAUGCACUGGAGGUCCGAACCGACUAAUGUUGCAAAAUUAGCGGAUGAGCUGUGGAUAGGGGUGAAAGGCUAAACAAACUUGGAAAUAGCUGGUUCUCUCCGAAAACUAUUUAGGUAGUGCCUCAAGUAUUACCAUCGGGGGUAGAGCACUGUUAUGGCUAGGGGGUCAUGGCGACUUACCAAACCAUUGCAAACUCCGAAUACCGAUGAGUACAGCUUGGGAGACAGUGCACCGGGUGCUAACGUCCGGACACAAGAGGGAAACAACCCAGACCGCCAGCUAAGGUCCCUAAAAUUGGCUAAGUGGGAAACGAAGUGGGAAGGCUAAAACAGUCAGGAUGUUGGCUUAGAAGCAGCCAUCAUUUAAAGAAAGCGUAAUAGCUCACUGAUCGAGUCGUCCUGCGCGGAAGAUGUAACGGGGCUAAGCCAGUUACCGAAGCUGCGGAUUCACAGUUUACUGUGAGUGGUAGGAGAGCGUUCUGUAAGCCUGCGAAGGUGUCUUGUAAAGGAUGCUGGAGGUAUCAGAAGUGCGAAUGCUGACAUGAGUAGCGUUAAAGGGGGUGAAAAGCCCCCUCGCCGAAAGCGCAAGGUUUCCUACGCAACGUUCAUCGGCGUAGGGUGAGUCGGCCCCUAAGGCGAGGCAGAGAUGCGUAGCUGAUGGGAAACAGGUUAAUAUUCCUGUACCGAUCUAUAGUGCGAUGUGGGGACGGAGAAGGUUAGCUCAGCCAACUGUUGGAUAUGUUGGUUCAAGCAUGUAGGCGUGCUCUUUAGGCAAAUCCGGAGAGCUUAGCUGAGGUGUGAUAACGAGUCUGCUUGCAGACGAAGUGAGUGAUACCCUGCUUCCAGGAAAAGCCACUAAGCUUCAGCUAUAGAUUGACCGUACCGCAAACCGACACUGGUGCGCGAGAUGAGUAUUCUAAGGCGCUUGAGAGAACUCUGGAGAAGGAACUCGGCAAAUUGACACCGUAACUUCGGAAGAAGGUGUGCCUUUAGUAGGUGAACCAUUUACUUGGGGAGCCCAAUGAGGUCGCAGAGAAUCGGUGGCUGCAACUGUUUAAUAAAAACACAGCACUCUGCAAAGACGAAAGUCGACGUAUAGGGUGUGACGCCUGCCCGGUGCUGGAAGAUUAAUUGAUGGGGUGCAAGCUCUUGAUCGAAGUCCCAGUAAACGGCGGCCGUAACUAUAACGGUCCUAAGGUAGCGAAAUUCCUUGUCGGGUAAGUUCCGACCUG